CCUACGGUAGGCAGCAGUGAGGAAUAUUGGUCAAUGGGCGGAAGCCUGAACCAGCCAAGUAGCGUGCGGGAUGAAGGCCCUACGGGUCGUAAACCGCUUUUGCACGGGGAUAACACCCUCCACUUGUGGAGGUCUGCAGGUACCGUGCGAAUAAGGGCCGGCUAAUUCCGUGCCAGCAGCCGCGGUAAUACGGAAGGCCCGAGCGUUAUCCGGAUUCAUUGGGCGUAAAGGGAGCGUAGGCGGGCGUUCAAGUCAGCUGUAAAAUCGCGCGGCUCAACCGCGCCCCGCAGUUGAAACUGGACGCCUUGAGUUCACAACAGGCAGGCGGAAUUCGUGGUGUAGCGGUGAAAUGCAUAGAUAUCACGAGGAACCCCGAUUGCGAAGGCAGCCUGCCGGGGUGUGACUGACGCUGAGGCUCGAAGGUGCGGGUAUCAAACAGGAUUAGAUACCCGAGUAGUC
rnacentral:rRNA from 1 species